rnacentral:rRNA from 1 species
UACGUAGGUGGCAAGCGUUGUCCGGAUUUACUGGGCGUAAAGAGCGCGCAGGCGGCCGAGUAAGUCGAAUGUGAAAGCCCCCGGCUCAACUGGGGAGGGUCAUUCGAUACUGAUCGACUUGAAGGCAGGAGAGGGAAGUGGAAUUCCGGGUGUAGUGGUGAAAUGCGUAGAUAUCCGGAGGAACACCAGUGGCGAAGGCGACUUCCUGGCCUGUUCUUGACGCUGAGGCGCGAAAGCUGGGGGAGCAAACGGG